AAGUAACAUCCUGUCAAACCCGUC
rnacentral:siRNA from 1 species